AUGAAAAUUGCUAUUUUCAUUGGCCUAUCUAUACCCCUUUGUUUACCUUACCAUGUUGCUUCCACUGGACAGGCCAACUCAAACUGAGAAGGCCCUCUGGCUUCGGCUGGGGAGUGCUGGUGUGUAGCCAAAACCAAAACUAAAUUUGAAAUCUGCCUUCUAGUCUGAAUAAUUAUAAAAUAUUAUA
rnacentral:misc_RNA from 1 species